ACCAUACGAAAUUUAAUACUAUUUUUAUUCUCGGGGGCCUGAGUGGCCGAGUAGAUCACUCCGCGGCCUCCAUUAACACAAUAUUUAAGUUUCAAAAGGAGCUGUACUGCCCACGAUACUAUCUUAUAGACAACUACUCCUAUUCCGCUUUGCUUUUAGAGGGAACUCAUGUUUUAGAAGUAAACAACACUGUGGAAGGCCCCACCUGCGGACUGCUUCCCUUUGGCGGGCCAAGUUUGGUAUUGACAAAUGGUUUAAAGUGGAAUCUAAAUAAUCAGGUCUUGCGGUUUGGAGGGGAUAUCAGUUCUUCCAAUGAAAUCUGUCAAUUGACUAAGAAUAUAAUGAUAACCAUAAAAAAAUCUCCAAUUUUGUGGACCUCCGAACUAAAUUUUAA